GUGGGCAGUCUUAUGGGACUAACCCCUUUAAAAAUGAACUGUAGGUAGUUAGUGUCAGAAUUGAAUUGUUGGGCUGCCAGUUGGUGUAUGGAGAGAGUCAGAGAACCAGCUGGUGUUGGAAAAUAUUUUGGAGCCACCAUUCAAAGUACACCCCACUGAUGAAGAGAGCCUUGAAUGAACCAUUUAGUCCAACUUCCUCAUUUCAUAUAUAAGAGAUUUUUCUGGUAAGGAGAUAUACCAUAGGAAAGCAAUUUCACUGGCAGUGAGGUAUGUAUAUACUCUACCAAAAUACUCCUUAUUUUAAUGUUUUUAACUUUAUUUACAUACAAAAAAGUAUCAAUGCAUAUCCUUGCUUCAACUAUAGUAU